rnacentral:snRNA from 1 species
AUGCUCGCUUCGGCAGCACAUAUACUAAAACUGGAACGAUACAGAGAAGAUUAGCAUGGCCCCUGCGCAAGAUUGACACACAAAUUCAUGAAGCAUUCCAUAUAAAA